rnacentral:rRNA from 1 species
UACGUAGGGUGCAAGCGUUAAUCGGAAUUACUGGGCGUAAAGCGUGCGCAGGCGGUUAUGUAAGACAGGUGUGAAAUCCCCGGGCUUAACCUGGGAACUGCAUUUGUGACUGCAUAGCUAGAGUACGGCAGAGGGGGAUGGAAUUCCGCGUGUAGCAGUGAAAUGCGUAGAUAUGCGGAGGAACACCGAUGGCGAAGGCAAUCCCCUGGGCCUGUACUGACGCUCAUGCACGAAAGCGUGGGGAGCAAACGGG